rnacentral:rRNA from 1 species
AUUGAACGCUGGCGGCAGGCCUAACACAUGCAAGUCGAGCGGUAGCACAGAGAGCUUGCUCUCGGGUGACGAGCGGCGGACGGGUGAGUAAUGUCUGGGAAACUGCCUGAUGGAGGGGGAUAACUACUGGAAACGGUAGCUAAUACCGCAUAAUGUCGCAAGACCAAAGUGGGGGACCUUCGGGCCUCAUGCCAUCAGAUGUGCCCAGAUGGGAUUAGCUAGUAGGUGGGGUAACGGCUCACCUAGGCGACGAUCCCUAGCUGGUCUGAGAGGAUGACCAGCCACACUGGAACUGAGACACGGUCCAGACUCCUACGGGAGGCAGCAGUGGGGAAUAUUGCACAAUGGGCGCAAGCCUGAUGCAGCCAUGCCGCGUGUGUGAAGAAGGCCUUCGGGUUGUAAAGCACUUUCAGCGGGGAGGAAGGCGUUAAGGUUAAUAACCUUGGCGAUUGACGUUACCCGCAGAAGAAGCACCGGCUAACUCCGUGCCAGCAGCCGCGGUAAUACGGAGGGUGCAAGCGUUAAUCGGAAUUACUGGGCGUAAAGCGCACGCAGGCGGUCUGUCAAGUCGGAUGUGAAAUCCCCGGGCUCAACCUGGGAACUGCAUUCGAAACUGGCAGGCUAGAGUCUUGUAGAGGGGGGUAGAAUUCCAGGUGUAGCGGUGAAAUGCGUAGAGAUCUGGAGGAAUACCGGUGGCGAAGGCGGCCCCCUGGACAAAGACUGACGCUCAGGUGCGAAAGCGUGGGGAGUAAACAGGAUUAGAUACCCUGGUAGUCCACGCCGUAAACGAUGUCGAUUUGGAGGUUGUGCCCUUGAGGCGUGGCUUCCGGAGCUAACGCGUUAAAUCGACCGCCUGGGGAGUACGGCCGCAAGGUUAAAACUCAAAUGAAUUGACGGGGGCCCGCACAAGCGGUGGAGCAUGUGGUUUAAUUCGAUGCAACGCGAAGAACCUUACCUGGUCUUGACAUCCACAGAACUUUCCAGAGAUGGAUUGGUGCCUUCGGGAACUGUGAGACAGGUGCUGCAUGGCUGUCGUCAGCUCGUGUUGUGAAAUGUUGGGUUAAGUCCCGCAACGAGCGCAACCCUUAUCCUUUGUUGCCAGCGGUUAGGCCGGGAACUCAAAGGAGACUGCCAGUGAUAAACUGGAGGAAGGUGGGGAUGACGUCAAGUCAUCAUGGCCCUUACGACCAGGGCUACACACGUGCUACAAUGGCAUAUACAAAGAGAAGCGACCUCGCGAGAGCAAGCGGACCUCAUAAAGUAUGUCGUAGUCCGGAUUGGAGUCUGCAACUCGACUCCAUGAAGUCGGAAUCGCUAGUAAUCGUAGAUCAGAAUGCUACGGUGAAUACGUUCCCGGGCCUUGUACACACCGCCCGUCACACCAUGGGAGUGGGUUGCAAAAGAAGUAGGUAGCUUAACCUUCGGGAGGGCGCUUACCACUUUGUGAUUCAUGACUGGGGUGA